GGAAAAUCUUGCUUCAAUUAUUGAAAUAAGUUUAGUUACAGAGCAAUUGAUUUCGCAAUUUCUCAGAGAUUUUAGAGCAUAACUAUACUUCUGUAGACAAGAUUGGUUUGAAAAAGCUAUUCUUCAACUUCGUUACACUUGCAGUAAACUAGCCACACAUACAAUCCUCCCAAAUUUACACGAAAUAUUUACCAUGGGUGUUGUUUUGCUAAAAGAAAUUUGAUACAUCGAUGGAUUCUUAAUUGCUUUCGCUGAAGUCUGCAUCGAUAACUUCUCCAUCUCCAUCAUCUUUACCGGUGGAACCAGAUGAUCCAGUUGUACCAGCACCAGGAGAAGGACCAGAACCGGCAGGACCUGGCUGGCUGUACAGAGACUGUCCCAGCUGCAUUACUUCUUGGUUCAAUGCAGCCAUCGCGACCUUAAUGGUUUGAGUAGAAUCACCGGAAAUGGCAUCCUUGAGCUCUUUCAGUUUGGAUUCCACUUUGUUUUUUACGUCAGCAGGCACCUUAUCUCCCAACUCUUUAAGCUGCUUCUCGGUUUGGUAUACGACAGAUUCUGCUUGAUUCUUCGCGUCUAUGGCUUCUCUCUUCUCCUUGUCCUCUCUAGCAAACUUCUCAGCUUCUUGAACCAUUCUAUCAACCUCAUCUUUGGGCAAAGUGCUAGCACCAGUUAUAGUAAUGUCCUGCUUCUUUCCUGUACCCUUAUCAGUAGCCGUGACAGAAAGAAUACCGUUGGCGUCAAUGUCGAACUUCACUUCAAUCUGGGGAACACCCCUGGGAGCUGGAGGGAUUCCAUCCAGGCGGAACCUUCCAAUAGACUUGUUAUCUUUUACAAACUCUCUUUCACCUUGCAGCACAUUAAUCUCAACACUAGUUUGCCCAUCUGCUGCAGUUGAAAAAACUUCUGAUUUUGAAGUUGGUAGUGUUGUAUUUCUUGGGAUAAUUUUGGUCAUGACUCCACCCAGAGUUUCCAGACCAAGUGACAGUGGAGUUACAUCUAAUAACACGAUGUCACUAACAUCUCCAGCCAAGAUACCAGCCUGAACUGAAGCUCCAAGAGCAACCACUUCAUCAGGAUUGACAGAAACAUUAGGCUCUUUACCAGUCAUCUUGCGGACAAGGUUUUGAACAGCCGGUAUUCGUGUUGAUCCACCAACAAGAACUACUUCAUCAAUAUCUUUGAAGGAAAGGCUGGCAUCCUUCAAGGCAGUUUCAACUGGUGUCUUAAGCCUGUCCAAUAAGUCUGAGCAUAACUCCUCAAACUUGGCCCUUGUAAAUGUUGUGUCAAUAUGUUUCGGACCAUCUGCAGUAGCAGUGAUGAAUGGCAAACUGAUAUUAGUUUGAGUCAAGGUUGACAAUUCUAUCUUUGCCUUCUCAGCAGCUUCAGUAAGACGUUGAAGCGCUUGUUUGUCUUUAAGAAGCUCUAUUCCUUCUUCUUUCCUAAAAGUAUCAGCAAGCCAGUCCACAAUUCUCUUAUCAAAAUCAUCACCUCCCAAGUGUGUGUCCCCUGAGGUAGAAAGUACCUCAAAUACUCCAUCUCCAACCUCAAGAACUGAUACAUCAAAAGUACCACCUCCUAGGUCAAAGACUAGAAUGGUUUCAUUACUCUUCUUCUCAAAUCCAUAAGCCAAUGAAGCAGCAGUGGGCUCAUUGAUUAUUCGGAGAACAUCUAAUCCGGCAAUGCGACCUGCAUCUUUUGUAGCAGUUCUCUGAGAGUCAUUAAAGUAUGCUGGUACUGUAACCACUGCUUUAGCAACUUUAUCAUUCAAGAAUUUCGAGGCAUCAUCAACAAGCUUUCUCAAGACCUGAGCAGAAAUUUCCUCAGGAGCAAACUGUUUACCAAUAGCAGGACACUCAAGUUUGACGUUCCCAUUCUCAUCCUUCAUCACUCUAUAAGAUACUUGUUUCGACUCUUCAUCAACCUCCGCCAUUUUCCUCCCUAUAAACCUCUUCACUGAGAAGAAAGUGUUCUCCGGAUUCACCACCGAUUGCCUUUUGGCUAUCUGCCCAACUAAUCUAUCUCCAUUCUUCGUAUAUGCCACUACAGACGGCGUCGUUCUUUGCCCCUCCGCAUUUGUCACUAUUGUCGGUUUCCCACCUUCCAUUACUGCCACCGCUGAAUUCGUCGUCCCCAAAUCUAUCCCCACCACCUUCUCGUUCACUACUUUCAUGGGUCUGAACCUUUGCCUCACCGCCUUGUCACUGUAACAUUUCUUCCGUGAUGCAAAACUAAUUCUCCCUCCCGAAAAUGGGGUUCUGUUGUCCAGCUUAUGCCCGGAAAAUGGGAUUUUCACUUGGUGGGUUGCUGACGAAGCCAUUUUUGAACUGAAAAAAUUGAUUUGGUUUAGUGAGUGAAAGUGAAAUACUGAAAUGAUCGACAAUUCUUGUUGUUGUUGAAACUCUGCAAGUGAGAGAGGGAUGUAUAUAGAGA
rnacentral:misc_RNA from 1 species